UAUCUCUGUAGAGUCUGCAUAUCAAUAAGCGGAGGAAAAGAAACUAACAAGGAUUCCCCUAGUAACAGCGAGUGAAGCGGGAAGAGCUCAAAUUUGAAAUCUUAAAGGGUUUCCCUUUACGAAUUGUAGUUUAAAGAAGUGUUUUCUGUUGAGGUUUUGGUAAAAGUUCUUUGGAAUAGGACAUCAUAGAGGGUGAGAAUCCCGUAUUUGACCUUUACUUUCAACUUUGUGAUACACUUUCAAAGAGUCGGAUUGUUUGGGAAUGCAGUCCAAAAUGGGUGGUAAAUUUCAUCUAAAGCUAAAUAUUGGCGAGAGACCGAUAGCGAACAAGUACCGUGAGGGAAAGAUGAAAAGAACUUUGAAAAGAGAGUUAAACAGUACGUGAAAUUGUCAAAAGGGAAGCGUUUGACACCAGUGUUGUUUUUCUGAAAAUCAAUUAAAGAACUGUUUAUGCUAAGUUGUUUAGACUUUAUCAGCUAACUGUUUAGUUUUGAGCUUUUCUUUAAUGCACUUUUCAGUUAACAAGUCAACAUCAAUUUCUUUUGCUGUAAAAAAGCUUGAGGAAGGUGGCUUGAGAUUCGUCUUAAGUGUUUAUAGCCUCUUGCCUAUGCAGUCGGAGAGAUUGAGGUCUGCAGCGUAGAUCCUUCGGGGCUAAAUGCAUUUGUGCUAAGUUAUAGCAUUUUAUAGACAACUUGUUGACUAUGAUUUGUCUUGUAGCUUACUCGCUUAUGUUAUUUUACCUACGCUUAGGAUGUUGACGAUCAGCUGAGCGCG
rnacentral:rRNA from 1 species